GCAUAUUCAAUACAAACCUUGCUGUGGAAUCAGCUCAUUCUUUAUUACAUCUGUUAUUGCAAAGCCUGUUUUACUGAUGUGGGAUUAAUACAAUCAUUUAUUGGUCAUCUAUUCCUUUAUGUUCUUACGACUUGUUUUUGAUAUUGAGCUCCUGAUGAAGUCCAGAUGGACGAAACGCGUCGGGUUUCUGGUUCGGAUAUAAGAACAUCGGAUAUGCAAUAAUUAAGAAAACCACAUUGGACUUGCCAAUUAUCCGCAAUAUAUGGUGUCCAUAUCUGAUGUCUGCAUUUUGAUUACAU